ensembl:lncRNA
AUGUGUGAUUCAAUGCGCACACUGACAUUUAGCACUUUGUUUCAAUUUGUUCGGCAUCCACCUCUUUUAUCCAAGAUGAGAAUUAGUGUACCCAUAAUCCUCUUUGUUGCAGCGACAGGUUUCCACAGUGUGAUUUCAGCAUCUCUGCAAUGUGAUGAAAGGACUAAAUUGCCAGAAGAGAGAGCGUUUGAAGAGAACAGCACGACUCCACAAACAGAUGAGUCGGAGUAUGAGGCUGCUCAUGUGAAAGAUGGAGAGACAAAGGCAGUGACAGACACUACAGAGCAAAGCUUGCUUGAGAAGGAAGAAAGUCAUGAUGGUGAGAGAGAGGCGCUGACAGAUGCUACAGGCGCGAACACCGGAAGUGACGCGCCCAUAGAUUCAGACUCUGGGGACGACACCUCUCAACAGAACACAGAACACAGUGAGCAUGUGGAAGAGAAUGUGAAAAGUUCUGAGGAUUUCAGUGAUGAAGAAUACAAUUUAUAUUACGAUUAAGACAGUGUGAAGCAGCUGUGUGUAAUCCAUCUAACAUCUUUAAAACUAAAUGCAUUGUUUUAUAAAGCAUGUUGCUGAACAUUCUAACCAACCGUGUGUACCACCUGGAAAAAAAAAAAAAACCUUCCAUGGUGACCUUUCACACAAUUUGUGAUGGCGGCUUUUUUUUUUCCAAAUAAAGACUGUAAACACUG